rnacentral:tRNA from 1 species
UUGGAAAGAGCGGGAUUUAAACCCGCCUGCACAGGGMUACAAC